CAUUGGUUGACAGUGGAAUUAAAUGGUCUAUAAAAAGCCUAUUUUUGCUGUUAAGUUACAAUACAGCAUUAGUCUCAAGUUGAAUACUUUUUAAGUAUUUUACAUCUUCACUUGAACAGGUGUCUGAGAAACAUGAUCGAGAGGAGCGCUCAGCAAGUGAUGAGAAGUUCAGGGGUUAUGGGCGUGGUUUGGGAGGGUUUUACCCCUAUCAGCAGCCUCAGUACCCAUCCUACUUCCCUUAUGCUCAGCCUUCUCAAGGUAACUCUGCCCUGAUGGCCCUCCUGCCCUUCCUAUUGGCCAGCCUCGCCUCUGCUCCUGCCGCAACUCCUGCUGCAGCUCCAGCCCCAGCCCCAGCAGCAGGUGGAAAAUGAGACGGGCGUCGAUAGAGAAAGGAGAAAAAACGUGUUUACAUCAAAUAUGUUCGCAUUAGCUGCUGUUCAGAGCUGAUUAUUCCAUAUUAAUAAAUGAAAUAAGUUAAGAUCCGUCA
rnacentral:lncRNA from 1 species